AUAGAAGAUGAAAUAAAUGGCUCACCAUUAUGAAUUAGAUUCCGUACUUCCUGAAGAAGGAAAUUCUCUCAGUCUUGGGAAGAAGACACUUCCAUAAUUCAUCCCACUGCUCCACUCUACGACUACGAGCCUAACCAAGAGCCUCUCAAUGCACCACCUCCAGCUUACAAUUCUCUAUUUGACACUGCAAAAUCCUUCCCAAAGACCAUCGCAAAACCAUCCUAGGACAAAGCCAAAGUAAAAAUAAUCAUGAAGUUGAUAGAAACGAAUCGGAAGAAGCUAAUGACGACGCUGAGGAAAAUAAAGAUCAAAAUAAUGACAGUGAUGAUGAUGAACCAGACACAUUCUGUGGCUACCUAUGCCUAAUUGUUGCUGUUAACAUUAUUUUUUGUGGACUACCAGUAGCACAGAUUAUCAUGGGAUUUAUUUAUAAAGAUGAAUGCAAUAUAGAUGAUAAGAUACCGUUAUUUCUGUUGGUAAAUGGCAUCGUUUUCACUCUGAUAUGGCAGCAACUUUGGAUCCCUACUAAAGGUUGCUCAGAAACACUACUUGCAAUCUUUAAUGGGGCAGUUGGACUCUUUCUCUUGGCUUGGUUUAUUUGUGGAAGUGUCUGGGUUUUUAAGGCAAAAUCUUCUGUUCUACUCUACAAUAACAACGCUAUUGAUAUCCCUAUUGAAGGCCAUUUCAAGUCCAAAAUAUUUAGUAUUGUGACCAGGGCCCCUCUAACUUCAGACCUGAUGAGCAUUCAAUGGGAACAUGACUCCUACUGGAACAAGCAGGACCCCCUCAAAAUUGAAUUUGGCUAUUUCAUAUUAUUCAUUAAAGCUGUGCAAUCAAACAAGGCAAUUGUCAAUAAAUAAUAUACAUGUUUUUAAAAUACAGGAUGUUUGGACUUUUUAUAUUUCAUCGAGCAGAGUUCGGAUAUGGUUGAAUGACAAAAUAGCUUUUGAAGGGACAAAGUAUGAUGAAAGAUACAAAGAUUGCGAAAUAUGGGAAGAUAAACUCGAUACCAUAAAGACUGUGACUGGGCCUGUUCAAGCCCUUCAGACAUAUGAUAAAAAGGGCAUAUAUGCAGAAACCGCCUAUUAUCGGAAGUGCAACAAGAAAGUCUACAACUUCGCUUUUUGGAUGCUUGUCAUCAUCUACAUAAUUGUUGGAGUGCUCUUCCUCGGAGUAGUACUCUUGUAAAGUCGUCUUCCUGUUACCAUCUCAUCAGCUCAAUCUCUGGAAUCUUUUAAAGCUCUUCUAAAAACUUUCCUGUUUAAAGUGUCUUUACUUUAUCGAUAAACUAUUUUGGUCAUGAUUGGUGUACGAUCUUAGAGUAUUUCAUACUAUGCAUCAGUAUUACCGAUAUCUUUUCAAGCAUAAGUGUCCAGUCC